UACGGAGGAUGCAAGCGUUAUCCGGAAUUAUUGGGCGUAAAGCGUCCGCAGGUGGCUAUGUAAGUCUGCUGUUAAAGAGUCUAGCUCAACUAGAUAAGAGCAGUGGAAACUACAAGGCUAGAGUACGUUCGGGGCAGAGGGAAUUCCUGGUGUAGCGGUGAAAUGCGUAGAGAUCAGGAAGAACACCAGUGGCGAAGGCGCUCUGCUAGGCCGUAACUGACACUGAGGGACGAAAGCUAGGGGAGCGAAUGGG
rnacentral:rRNA from 1 species